GUACCCUCAAGCUCUGCUUGGUGUUGGGUGUUUGUCCACUGUCGUGGACUCGCCUUAAAGUCAUUGGCAGCCAGUGUUUUGGUAUUGAAGCGCAGCACAUUUUGCGCCUCUAGCCUAGAGCACUCGCGUCCAGUAAGCCUUUUUCCACUU
rnacentral:misc_RNA from 1 species